AGAACGAACGCUGGCGGCAUGCCUAAUACAUGCAAGUCGAACGAACACUUCGGUGUUAGUGGCGCACGGGUGCGUAACGCGUGGGAAUCUGCCCUUGGGUUCGGAAUAACAGUUGGAAACGACUGCUAAUACCGGAUGAUGACGAAAGUCCAAAGAUUUAUCGCCCAGGGAUGAGCCCGCGUAGGAUUAGCUAGUUGGUGAGGUAAAGCUCACCAAGGCUACGAUCAGUAGCUGGUCUGAGAGGAUGACCAGCCACAUUGGGACUGAGACACGGCCCAAACUCCACGGGAGCAGCAGUGGGAUCUGCGCAA
rnacentral:rRNA from 1 species